UUGAGUUUUAAGUUAUGUAAACUAUAAGUCUUCCAAACUUAAAAAAUUAUUUAAACUCAAA
rnacentral:tRNA from 1 species